rfam:Endozoicomonas montiporae strain LMG 24815 scaffold00001, whole genome shotgun sequence.
GGCGGCGGACCCGCCGAAGUCGGCUGUCGGAAGCAGGCUUCAAACCACCUCAAGU